UCCGAGUUGACCCCGGCAGUCUCCUGCGAGUCCCCGCCAUUACGCGCUGGCAACACAGGACAAGGGUUGCGCUCGUUGCGGGACUUAACCCAACAUCUCACGACACGAGCUGACGACAGCCAUGCACCACCUGUAUACCGACCACAAGGGGGGCCGUAUCUCUACGGCUUUCCGGUAUAUGUCAAACCCAGGUAAGGUGGGGAUGACGUACCACAGACUAUAC
rnacentral:misc_RNA from 1 species